UCUUAGCAGCCCGACUUGAACGGAGCUCUUUUUCUUUUUUUGUAAAAAAAGAAAAAAGCGGGAGUGGAAGGCGGAUCAAGCU
rnacentral:misc_RNA from 1 species